GAAUAACCGGUCGAAAGGCUGACUAAUACCCCAUGGUAUCCUGCCCUAAGAAGCAAGAUUAAAGGUGGCCGGCAACGGCUGUCGCUGAAGGAUUGGUUCGCGCCCUAUCAGCUUGUUGGCGAGGUAACGGCUCACCAAGGCUACGACGGGUAACUGGUCUGAGAGGACGAUCAGUCACACUGGAACUGAGACACGGUCCAGACACCUACGGGUGGCAGCAGUCGAGAAUAAUUCACAAUGGGGGCAACCCUGAUGGUGCAACGCCGCGUGGAGGAUGACGGUCUUAGGAUUGUAAACUCCUGUCAUCCGGGAGAAAGACCUGACGGUUAAUAGCCGGCAGGGUUGAUAGUACCGGAAGAGGAAGGGACGGCUAACUUCGUGCCAGCAGCCGCGGUAAUACGAAGGUCCCGAGCGUUAUUCGGAAUCACUGGGCGUAAAGGGAGCGUAGCGGCGUAGUAAGUCGGAUGUGAAAUCCCGGGGCUCAACCCCGGAACUGCAUCUGAUACUGCUAUGCUAGAGUAAUGGAGGGGUAGCUGGAAUUCUCGGUGUAGCAGUGAAAUGCGUAGAUAUCGAGAGGAACACUCGUGGCGAAAGCGAGCUACUGGACAUUUACUGACGCUGAGGCUCGAAGGCUAGGGGAGCGAAAGGGAUUAGAUACCCCUGUAGUCCUAGCAGUAAACGGUGCACGCUUGGUGUGAGGGGAUUCGACCCCCCUUGUGCCGGAGCUAACGCGUUAAGCGUGCCGCCUGGGAAGUACGGUCGCAAGACUAAAACUCAAAGAAAUUGACGGGGACCCGCACAAGCGGUGGAGUAUGUGGCUUAAUUCGAUGCAACGCGAAGAACCUUACCAAGGCUUGACAUGGAUUUCUAAGCACGUGAAAGCGUGUGACCCUUCGGGGGACUUCCACAGGUGCUGCAUGGCCGUCGUCAGCU
rnacentral:rRNA from 1 species